rnacentral:rRNA from 1 species
CCUACGGGAUGCAGCAGUGGGGAAUCUUGCGCAAUGGGCGAGAGCCUGACGCAGCAACGCCGCGUGGGGGAUGAAGGCCCUCGGGUUGUAAACCCCUUUCAGCAGGGACGAAAUUGACGGUACCUGCAGAAGAAGCCCCGGCCAACUACGUGCCAGCAGCCGCGGUAAUACGUAGGGGGCAAGCGUUGUCCGGAUUUAUUGGGCGUAAAGAGCUCGUAGGCGGCUUGGCAAGUCGGGUGUGAAAACUUCAGGCUCAACCUGGAGCGGCCACUCGAUACUGCUAUGGCUUGAGUCCGGUAGGGGACCACGGAAUUCCUGGUGUAGCGGUGAAAUGCGCAGAUAUCAGGAGGAACACCAGUGGCGAAGGCGGUGGUCUGGGCCGGAACUGACGCUGAGGAGCGAAAGCGUGGGUAGCAAACAGGAUUAGAUACCCUAGUAGUC